rnacentral:rRNA from 1 species
UACGUAGGGGGCAAGCGUUGUCCGGAAUCAUUGGGCGUAAAGCGCGUGUAGGCGGUUUCGUAAGUCUGCUGUGAAAGUCGGAGGCUCAACCUUCGAAAGCCGGUGGAUACUGUGAGACUUGAGUACGGAAGAGGGGAGUGGAAUUCCUGGUGUAGCGGUGAAAUGCGCAGAUAUCAGGAGGAACACCAACGGCGAAGGCAGCUCUCUGGGACGUUACUGACGCUGAGACGCGAAAGCGUGGGGAGCAAACAGG